GACAGAGGUGCCGAGCGUUAGGCGGAAUCACUGGGCUUAAAGCGCGUGUAGGCGGGGCGGCACGUCCGUCGCUGAAAUCCCCCGGCUCAACCGGGGAACGGGCGCGGAGACGACCGCCCUCGAGGGGCGUAGGGGGACCUGGAACUUCCGGUGGAGCGGUGAAAUGCGUUGAGAUCGGAAGGAACGCCCGUGGCGAAAGCGAGGUCCUGGACGCCUGCUGACGCUGAGACGCGAAAGCGUGGGGAGCGAACGAGG
rnacentral:rRNA from 1 species